CUGGCAGAAUCAGACGCAAGCAGACGUUUCGCCUCUUUGUAUUUAGUUAACCUAAGUUGCAGGUUGGUUAAUAAGUUUCUAUUGUACGCGAUUGUGAGUAAAAUUGAUGGAUUUAGCUUUACAUCCUACGUACAUGUAAUUAUUAUUUUAACCAUUCCUAAAAAUUAAUAAGAGAUGACAUUUGCACUGAGGCCGUUACUCAUUAACUGUAUAACGAGACGAAAUCAUGGUCUACGAAAUAAUUUAACAAAAACAAGCCUUCAACUGCAUACAUCCAAAGGACUUCUUCAUGGGGAGUAUGAAUUCCAGGAUCCAAAAUCAGAAGAUGAAGUGGUAAAUGUAAUUUUUAUAGACAAAAAUGGAAGCAGAAUACCUAUUAAAGGUAAAGUUGGAGACAAUGUAUUAUAUUUAGCACACAGGUAUAAUAUCGAGAUGGAAGGAGCGUGUGAAGCUUCCCUUGCUUGUACUACUUGUCAUGUCUAUGUUCAUCAUGAUUAUGUGGAUAAAUUACCAGUUGCUGAAGAGAAAGAAGAAGAUCUUUUGGAUCUAGCUCCCUUUUUAAAGGAAAAUUCUCGAUUAGGAUGUCAAAUUAUAUUAACAAAAGAAUUAGAAGGUAUCGAAUUAGAGUUACCAAAAGCUACAAGGAAUUUCUACGUUGAUGGGCAUACACCCAGUGCGCACUAACAUCAUGCGAUGCAAACUUAGAUUUUUCACCCUGAGACCAGUGCUAUGUAAAUAAUAUUACUGAUAUAAGAUUUAAACAUUUAUGAUAUAAUGAAUUGGUGAAUUAAAAUCUUACUCGUUGAUCUCGCAGCAUUUACAACAUGCAUGGAAAACCCUGCAAAAUGGAUUCAACAACCGAAGUCGUCCCACUUUAGUAUGACCACUGACGCGAUUAAAAUUAUUGAUAAGAACGACAGGGCACCUCAGUGAACCUCCUUCAAUUGAGCAUUCUCUCACACUCUUAAUACACGUACGCAAUUUUGACCUUUCGUUUGUACAUGUAUAUUCAUUCUCCUCUCUCUCCCGAUAAUUAUCGUCGCUAUCAUUGUUACACGUUACUUUAUAAUAACCUCCAUUUUAUCAUGGAUCAAUGUAAUUAUAGACACGAUAUAAUUCUCAACACAUUUACAUCUUGCAUUCAAACUCUAUUAACGGCAGCAACUUAAUUACAAUUUUCUUCGUCUACUGAAAUAUACACAUCCACUCGGCAUUGUACCUUUUAAGAUGAUUACAUGCAUAUCCUCAUUUGGUAUGAGUCAUCGUAACUGACUUAUUGGGAAAAUAGCUUUUGUACUUAUUUCUAACUAAAAGUGUCACAAUAUUAUAGAUUAUUGUACAUACAAUGUGUACGUUGGAUAUAUCGAUGUAAUACUUCAAAUUAGUAAAAUUGUGGUAAUUACACGAACGACUAAAUUAAAUGAUAACCAUGGCAGUAAACAACGUCAUAUUAUGUACACUUUGAGAGACGCUCGAUCUUCACAAUUUUCAACGAUUUGUGACUUUGAAUCAUGUCAUAGAGCUUCCUACCAAAAGCGUUUACAAACUUCUCGCGGAAUCUUUAAUAAUUUAAAUGUAAUACUACAAUUAAUGGCGCAAUGAUGAAGCACAAUUAAAUGACACUGGAUGUUUUCAAUCGGUUCUAACUUUGAUCCAGAUUCAUCAAAUCGUAACAGUAGAAUGUUCGAAGCUCUUUGGAGGGUCGCAUACUAAACUACAAUUGAAACGAACGCUUGAAGGAGUACUGGCAUUAGAAGAAUAGAAUAUAACUUAGGAUGCCGCAUAUUGUUUCUUUCCCUACACGUUGUUAUUAUUUUUAUCUGAAACUCGACUUUCCGAAGAGGAAAUUCUUCGAUCAUGUACACGUUAAAACUCUCUCGUGCGCGCGUUUACUUGUACAAGAGCGUACAAAACAAUAUUAUGUCUAUGGCUACUCUAAGGAGAAAACAAAAAAAAAACUACAAGUGUACUCCUCUGAGACCUUAGGAACACACCGUCACCUUUUGAAUAUACAAAACCGUAAAAAAGUCAAUACCAACGAAUACAUUAUUAUCCGCUUGAAAAAGCACCUUUCUUGUACAUUUUACUCUCCCCUUGUAUAGAUCGUUAUCGAGAUUAUGUAUUCGUAAUUAAAGAAGCUCGUGCUUUAAGAGACAUUAUUGAAUAUAUUAUUUCCAUAAUUUACACGAAAUCCUUCAAUAAGUUUCCAUAAUUUACACGAAAUCCUUCAAUAAGUACAUGUUGUUUAACUGUCGAGAACAGAAUAGAUUUCACAGUUCUUAACUUCCUCUCCAUUUAUCGCGAAAGGAAGAGAAAAGAAAUGCAUUAAAUUGAGAUGCAUCCGCAACGCUAUUUUCAAUCAUUUUCACAUCUUAUCCCGAUCGAUUCCAUUCCUCUAUUAUCAUCCAUUACGAAUCUAUCCCGACAAAAUUCUCUCCAGCUUGCACCAUGUGGGAACUAAUUACUAAAGCAACGAAAUAAUGAUCACAGGAACAGCGUAAUGCUAGAUUUCCUAUUUUGACAUUAAGUAAAACGCAUGAACACUCGUUUCAUCACGAGACAAAGAGUAACAUUACUUCCGUCUUUGAUCCAGCAUAAUUGCGGAUCUAAUCAACAAAUCAAGUACAGAAAUUAAGCGACAAAGGACUAUCUUAACUGACAAAUAAUUAUAACGAUAUUACAUCGAUUGUUGGGUAUUACUGAUUACCGCAAAUUUAGAUACAUUAAGAUAAUGUACAAUAAAACGAUGCUAAUAAGAUUCUAUUGCAAGAGAACACGAUAAGGAUAAACGUUUUGUUUGUUUGUUUUUUUUUCUUUCAUCAUCAUUAGACAUCUAUAAGAAAGAAAGUUACACAGAAGAUGCACAUGUAACAACGAAGAAAGAAUGUAAAAUCCCAUUGAUAUAAUCGCUUUAACACAUAUGAGCAUAAGCUAUUAUAACACAAACCAAGAGAUUUCAUUGAAAUUCGUAACAUCCACACCUACGUCAAAAAGAAUAUUUAUACUCGUCAAUUCAAAUGGUACUCCACACGUGAGGACUAAGAAGACAUCUAUACAAAGGGAAUCGAAUAUGUACCUAUUUAUGUAUAACAAUUCGUUUCGCCUCGAUUAGGGAUCGUAAAAAAAUAAUUAGUCUCAAGUAAGACACGAAAUGCUUUUGGUGUAAAUACGAGUAAUCGUUUAAAUAAAACAAAUGCGUUACAGGUUUUUCUGUGAAAGAAGUCAGCACAGAUUCGAGGUUGCAGGCUCUAAAAAAAUCUAGAAGAAGCUAAUCUAAGGACCCGUAGCAGGUACAUUUGCAGUCUGUAAUUUCAUUGAGGAUAUCGAGCCCUUAGAUAUGAUACCUCCGAUACGUGUCCAGCGCAGUGAACAGCAAUUCCCCUUAUAAAAAGGAAAGAUCAAUGAAAAAGAGAGAGAGAAAAAAAAAGAAAGAUACAGAAUUACUCUCAACGAAUAAUUGCAUUAUACAUACACUUUCCGUCCAAUAGUGCGAGUGUCGCAGACUUGCAUUAAACGCGAAGAAACAGUAAAAAAGGAUUCGAUACCAGGGCUCGAAAGAAUGCGCGUUCGUAGCUUUUUAUUUUCACGAGAUUGAGCCUAUCACCGUGUUCUUUAAAUAAUUCCAUUUUCCCCGAUUUGCAUCGAUAGGUAAAAAGUCGACUGAAUAGGACAUACUCGUACAGCACAAAGCCAGAAAGCAGCCAUUCAAAUAAUACAUACAAGACAUUUUACAAGUACUUACGAUGUUACUAUUCAUUAUAUAGGAGCACAAGAGGGCUUCGAUAGAAAGCCGAACAUAUUUUCUUUUUUAAAUGAAAUCGUCAAGGAGAUAUCCAGAAAUUAAUAAAUUAAAAUACGCAUUCCUUCUUGGGGAAGGAAAAAUAAAAAAAUUCAGUAGAGGGAAUGUACAUAAUCAAGGGAACUAGUACAUUACAGGUUCUGUUUGAAAUAAAAGUGAAAUGGAAUGAAAGAAAUUAACACGAAGUACACAAGAUUACGAGUAAGUUUCAAACAGUCGGUAGAAAUGUGGAUAAAGCUGAGAUUUUGUCAAAAGCUGAAAAAGUGCCGUUCCAGGUAAUGAUGCUAAGGGAACAUUUACAUUUGAAAUACUUGGUUAUUCUUUUUAA